GGCUCGGAGACAGGUGCUGCAUGGCCGUCGUCAGCUCGUGUCGUGAGAUGUUGGGUUAAGUCCCGCAACGAGCGCAACCCUUGUCUUUAAUUGCCAUCAUUGAGUUGGGCACUUUAAAGAGACUGCCGGUGUUAAACCGGAGGAAGGUGGGGAUGACGUCAAGUCCUCAUGGCCUUUAUGCCCAGGGCUACACACGUGCUACAAUGGGUGGUACAAAGAGAGGCAAGCUCGCGAGAGUAAGCAAAUCUCAAAAAGCCAUCCUCAGUUCGGAUUGGAGUCUGCAACUCGACCCCAUGAAGUCGGAAUCGCUAGUAAUCGCGGAUCAGCAUGCCGCGGUGAAUACGUUCCCGGGCCUU
rnacentral:rRNA from 1 species